AUGCAGGCAGCAACAGCAAAAUUCAGAAAAAAAUAUCGGAAAGCUCAUACUUAUUACUGAGGAACAUUGGAAUAAAUUUUUGUCUUAUCUUGAAAAUUAUAAUGUAUCUGGAGAAGUAACAUUUAAUUGUAAGGAAGAAUCAAGAUUUAAACCAAGAUUAUUCGUAAUGAAUCCUGCUACAAAUGGAAGCACUGAUAUUUUGACAACGUUUACAUCGUAUAUACCAUACAAUAUGGAAAUACAGGACGUAAAUAAAAGUACUUAUCCGUUGACGUCAACGAAGAAUUCAAGAUAUAAAUCUCGAUUGUCAUUUAAAAAAUUACGCAGAUGUACUGCAGCGGUAUUUCAUCGUUGUUUUCAAACUUUAAUAAAUAAAAUGAAUUAUAAUUAUUUCUUUAAAUAAAUAAUCAAAAUAUAGCUUAUAUUUUUAAACUGAUAUUUAUAAAUAUAAGACAAAUAUUGAUAUAAAAUAAGUAUAAGAGUAUGGUGUCGUAGUCAUGACUCUUUAAUUCUAAUUUAUAAAUUUACAUUAAUUUUAAAAUCCUUCUUAUUCUCGAUGUACAUUAAAAUUUGCAAUUUCUUAAGUUCUUAAAAGUUUUAUAAAUAAAAAUUAUAAUUAUAAUCAUGCCUGUGAUGUUGCUCUCUUUAGUUCCUAGCUUCUUGUCAGAAACAUAGUCAAGUUUUCUACAAUUUUACACAAAUAUACAAAUUCAUGUACAACUAUUUAUUAAAUAUAAAACUGCGUUUAUUUACUACGAGACGUUAUCUUAAUUUUCAACCUAUCAAAAAGCUCCUCUAAGUAACUGAAGAAAGACAAGAAAUACUAAUCAAAAGUUAAACAGUAAAUAAAUAUAAUCUUAACUUUUGUAUAAUAAUGAUUAAUAAGAUGUAUUGUGUUUCCAGUAGUGUCCCUGAUCAUAAUGGUUUUAUUGUACAAAGUAUUUUGUUUCUUUAAUUAUAAACAAGACGUUUUAAUAAAAAUGUAAAGUAAAUAUAUUGUUAAAAAGUAUAAAUAAAAAAAGAGCUACUACAAUAUAAAUUGCAAACAUUUAUAACUAUUAUAUGACAAUUAUACAAAGUAAAAAGAUAUCUUUGAAAUUCAGAAGAGUACAAUUUCAAUGUAAUUACAAGCCGUAGAAAACAGAUAUUGACCAAUUAAUUGGCAUAAAUACAUCGUAUCGACUUUCUGAGCGAUAUAUUAGUAUUAUCUGUUGUGUAACUAUUUGAAAAUAAGGAGCGAAUCAAAUUGGGUACAUGGCCAUAUUGGGUACAGGUGUCUUACAUAUGAAUUGUUUCGUACACUUCGUGUUUUACACAAUCUCUAUAUCAUAAAGUUUUUUGCAUUACAUAUAAGCAAAAAAGUUUUUAUAAUUGCAGUUUUUUAUACAAUUUGUUACUCGAUUAAAUGAUUAGAUUACACGAUUAAAUAAUUACAUGAAAUUAAAUAUUUAUAUCUCAUUUUUAUUCUAGACUUUUUUUUCAAAAAAAUGUUUAUUUAAAAAUUUAUAACGAGGUAAGAAUAAGCUUAUACUUAUGCUUUUAUACAUAUAAAGAUAUGCUUGUACUUCCAUAAAUUGGUACAUUAAUAAAUAAUAGAAUAUAAUUUCUAUAUAUUAUAUUGGUAUAUCCAAAAUAAAUAAUUUACGUACAUAACAAUGUAUAAUUAUUUUUAAAUGUAUAUUUUAUCACAUUAAAACAAUCUUUAGUGUGCUAAUAUAAAAAUUUUCAGUGUUUGUGUCAUAUUGUACACAGUCAAAAAUGUUCUAUCUUCAAAUGCUGAGUUAAGAGUAUGCUUAGUUCAUAUAGUUUAUUGUUGUCACUCGUUUUCUUCAAGCAGUAUACAUGCGAUUAUCACGAAAUAUUAAAAUAAAACUAUUAUUUACGGAUAGUAAUAAUAAAAUGGCAGUUUGGAGUUGCAGUAAAACAAUAGCUUGUGGUGCAACAAUAGCUGCUACUUUAAUUUAUUGUUUUAUGAUAUUUUACAAUCACAGGGAAAAGAAAGAAAUAGACAGUAAGUUAAAAUGUAUUUAUCUAAUUGAAACUUUCGUCGAUCUGCCGUUUGUUGAUAUAAACAUAUGUAUAAUAUGAGAAAAUCAAUUGUAAACAUUUUAACAAGCUAAUUGUAAUAUUCUUAUUUAGAAGCUAAUAAUGAUAAAAUUUUCAAAAUUAAAAUAACUAGUUUAUCUUUGUUUAAUAUACAUAGAGAGAAAAAAGUUUACUAAAAAUUCAGCUAAUAAUAUAUACACCACUAAUGUCAAAAAUUAAAUUAAACGAGUUGUUUUUUCUUUAUCGGAAUAAACAUCUAAUAAUCCAAAAUCAUUACGCAGUAAAAGAUUAUACCAGGUACAAUUAAAAGUUGUAGAAGAUUGUGAUUCAAGUAUAAAAAACGCCAGAUAAAAAUUUCACUUAAAUUAUAUCAAUUUCAGUAAUUAUUUUCGAUUCGUAAUUAUUAUUUCUAAUUCAGAGUUAAUGUUUAAUUAUUUCCUAGUUAAUUAUCUUUAAUAAGUAUUUCUCUUAAAUAUAUAAUAUUGUGAAAAUUAUUAACAAAUCUCUUUAAUUAUUUUCUUAUUAAUUAAUUACAUUAAAAAAUAGUUUAACAAUGUAAUCAUUUAACAACGAUUAUCUGUGAUAAAAUUAAAUGUCUAUUUGUUUUACAUAUUUUUCUUUGUUAAAAUAUUCGAAUAAACUAACGAUCUAGUUAAAUUCUUUAUACAGAUUCUUUAUACAUGAUUAUUCAAGCAAGACGAUUAUUUUAAAUAACUCCUUCUUUUGCACACCUAUUCAACAAUCAAGAUGACUUAAAUUGUUUUUUAAUUAUUAAUAUUAAUAACUCAAUAGACUCAAUAAAUAAUAGAGUUCAGAUAAACAUUUUUAACAGAACAAUAAAAUUAUUGACGUUAAAUACGAAAACAUUAUAUGCUUCUAAUGAUUCUUCUACUAACAACAGGUACUGUUCUCUUUUUAAUUGUUAAACAAAAAAUCUUUACAUAAAAAUUAAAUCCCAAUAAAUUAAUUUGAUUUUCAUAUAAGAUGCAGCUUAUAAUCAGAUGACUAAAAGAUGUAAUAACUCAAUAAGAGAUAGUUUUUGAUGGUUUACCAAAGAUUUAAUAUUGAGAUACAUAUUUCAUAUUUAAUAUUUUAAUUGAUAAGUAAAGCUAUCGUUGUAUUACUUGCUGAUUUUAUUGAAACACAAUACAAAAACGCGUGUAGAAUAGUCAAAAAUAAUAAAGAUGUAUAUUUUUAUAUCAGUAAUAAUGCAGUUUUAAGGUUGAAAACCACUCCUAUUUAUAAGCACAAGUAAUUAACUCGUUGCUCACAAAUUAUUUUUAAAUUUUGAAGAUAAGGGUUUUUCAUGUUGCUGAAAGUAAAUUUAAUGCAAAAAUUAUAUAUUUUGAAAUGACAAAUCCAAUGUGACGACUCAAUAAAACAAUCUUGUCUAAUUUUUUGUCGUUUCCAGGAAUAACUGAGGAGGAUAUGACGAGAGUUUAUCCACAUUUUAUUUUUAUUACGAUGUAAACUUACUACUUACAUCAAAGUAUACGCAGUGAGAUCAAUCGAACAUUUUACGCGAGACCGUUUCGAACUUUCUGAUUUGCGUCGAGAUAAUUUAUCAAUAACAAAAAACAAAUUUAAAAAACAAUUUUAUUAUACAAAUCGCUUCAUAAAGCUUUCUCUCUUUUUCUCUUUCUCUUUCUUCUUUAUUUAUAAAUUUAUUAUUUACAUUCAUGUAAAAAUGAAUGUAAGAGGAAUCACUUGACAUUUUUAAUUUAAUAAUCCCGUAGAUUAUUGUUUUAAAACUUGUGUGUCAUUUCAAAUUCUAUAAUUUUUGUAUUAAAUUUGCUUUCAACGACACAAUAAAUUUUUAUCAUCUCCAAAAUAAAAAAAUAACUCUAUAUCGUAAGCUUACAGCAAUGAGUUAAUUACUUGUGCUUGUAAGCAAAAUACAACAAGUUAUUUCUUAGUGUUUAUGAAUACAAGAAAUAGUUUUUAUCUUUAAAAUUGCAUCAUUGUCAAUAUAAAGAAAUAUGUGUCUAUUAUUUUCGGCUGCUCUAGUAUGCUAAAACUACAAGUAUACUAAAUAAUAAAAUUGGCAAGUAACACAAGGUAGUUUUAUAACACAUAUGUAUUAAGAUAUUCUUAUUAAUAUUUCCCUUAAAAAAAAAAAAAAAA